CGGCGGACGGGUGAGUAACACGUGGAUAACCUACCUAUAAGACUGGGAUAACUUCGGGAAACCGGAGCUAAUACCGGAUAAUAUAUUGAACCGCAUGGUUCAAUAGCGAAAGACGGUUUUGCUGUCACUUAUAGAUGGAUCCGCGCCGCAUUAGCUAGUUGGUAAGGUAACGGCUUACCAAGGCAACGAUGCGUAGCCGACCUGAGAGGGUGAUCGGCCACACUGGAACUGAGACACGGUCCAG
rnacentral:rRNA from 1 species